UACGUAGGUGGCAAGCGUUGUCCGGAUUUACUGGGCGUAAAGAGCGCGCAGGCGGUCGUUCAAGUCGCGUGUGAAAUCCCCAGGCUCAACCUGGGAACUGCAUCCGAUACUGGAUGGCUUGAAUUCGGGAGAGGGAUGCAGAAUUCCAGGUGUAGCGGUGAAAUGCGUAGAUAUCUGGAGGAAUACCGGUGGCGAAGGCGGCAUCCUGGACCGACAUUGACGCUGAGGAGCGAAGCCAGGGAGCAA
rnacentral:rRNA from 1 species